rnacentral:rRNA from 1 species
GACAGUGCCGUAAUCAGAUGAUUCGGCUACUGAAUUGAGAACGAUGAAAGAAUGUUAUCGAAUAUCUAUUGGAGGGCAAGUCUGGUGCCAGCAGCCGCGGUAAUUCCAGCUCGAAGAGCGUCUGUUAAUGUUGCUGCGCUUGAAACGCUCGUCGUUGAAUCUCUGGCAAUUGCCUACGGACACUUCUAUUGUGGUACCGUAGGAAAGUGCCUUUUUGUAUCUAUUCGUCGUUGAUUCACUUAAUUGUGUGUCACGUUCGAGAGCCACUUUCACUUUGGAGAAAUCAGUGUGCUCAUAACAGGCUUAUGCCUGCAUAUAACUGCAUGGGAUGAUGAAACUGGGCCUUUGACUCGUUUCGUUGGUUUACGAUUGCAAAGGCCAUGAUUAAUCGGGACAGACGGGGGCAUUCGUAUUGCGUCGAUAGAAGUGAAAUUCGGUGACCGACGUAAGACGAACAAUCGCGAAAGCAUUUGCCAAGAAUGUUUUCAUUAAUCAAGAACGAAAGUUAGAGUAUCGAAGACGAUUAGAUACCGUCCUAGUUCUAACUGUAAACGAUGCCAACCAGGGUUUCGUCAUAGCUUAUAUGCUUGACGAGCACCCUCCGGGAAACCUGAGUAAUCGGGUUCCGGGGGGAGUAUGGUUGCAGAAUCGAAACUUAAAGGAAUUGACGGAAGGGCACACCAGGAGUGGAGCCUGCGGCUUAAUUUGACUCAACGCACGAUAGCCGACUCGGUCCGAACAC